rnacentral:lncRNA from 1 species
CAAAGGAAAUGCAGGAGGAGGCUGCCAGCACACCCACGCCCCUUGCGACGCGUUCUCCAUGGCAGCAGCCAAAGCUGCAGAGAAGUGAGCAUGACCGGAACUAAGUGGGCUUGCAGAAUCACAGGCCCCUCAGAGAUUUGCAGGGCAGACAGCAAAGAAAAGGAGGCCAGAGGCCUGUGGCAGCCUGUCCCCAAGCCACACAGCCAGGAGAUGGCAGGGCUGGGACCAGCGGGACAGCCAAGGAGAUGGAAAGAUCAGAUGACAUUGAAAAUAUUCACAGCCAGCCUGGCUGGGGCCUGGGCAGUCAGAACAAACACCCCUGGAGGCAUUGGACCCCAGCAGGUGCCCUCGGGCGACAUGUGGAGAGCUCUUUCUGGUGUUGGAAAAACACAGUGGAGCCGUUCAUAAUGCUGGUGUUAAGGGGCAGAAGAAAUGCCCCCUUGGUGACAGACAUCCCCAUGUCCAGGCUCCAGUGCAACCUGGGACUCUGAGCCGGCACAUGACAUCCAUGAGGAUGAGCUCCGUGCAAGCCAGGACUUCCCCCGCACAGGACUCUCCCCUGGAGCAGCCACAGCAAAGCACCUACAACAUGUGGCUGUAACAGCAAGUGGGUUUCCAGAUCCCGGAUCUCCUCCACCUGCUUCAUCUGAUUUGAAUCACCCAACAGCACUGUACCCAGGGGAUUACACGCCAUUCCCAUUUCAGGGAGUGAAACUGAAGCAAUGCUCUUCUGUAGCUCAGAGGCUUUGCAAAUGCUGUUCCUCCUGCUCAGAUUACUUUUCAAUGUGACCGUGAUAAAGUGGGCCAGAGUGAAGCAUGUAAAGCACUUAGAAGCCCUGAGCCACCGUUUAAGAAGCCUGGCUGCCCUGAAGCCACCGCCAGGAGAGAGAAGCCUGAGACGCCCCGGCAACCCGCAGCCCAGCCAUUUGAGACAUUCCAGCCCAGAUGCCCGGAGAAAAAGGCUUUCAGAUGAGCCCAGGCCCAGCCACCAUCUCAUGCAGCUGGUGAGAGAUCCUGAUUGAGACCCACAAUGCUGACCCCAGGCAAGACCUGGAUUGGGGAGCCACUGUUUGGGGGUGUUUUGUUACACAGCAAUAGCUGAGCCCCCCUUGCACUCUAGGGCCCUUGAGGAGAGGGUGACCAAAGCUGACAAAUUGCCGUAAAGAGACCAUGCCCCAGCUGAGCCGCCCUCAGUAAGAGCCUUGUGGGGACUAUGACUUCUGGUUUCAGCAGCAUUUCAGGAAACGCCGGUGACAAGGCUUUGGGAAGGGUGAUGACAGCGAGGGCAGGGAUGCUUGACUCUCCAGACAGUGACGAUUCAGGCGGGAAACAGCAGCUACUUUGCUACAGGGAUCCACGAAAGUGUCCAAGGAGGAGACGAGGCCGUGGCUGAGUGCACAGUGGGCACCCGGUGGAGGGGGGUUCACGUGCAUUGUCACUUCUGCUCUCCCACCGCCCUGGGAGUCAGGCACGAUUAGAACUCCAUCUCUGGAGAGGAGGCUGGGAGAUGUAGAAUAACUCAUCCAGGACACAGCCUGUAACUCCUGGAGCUUGGAUUUGAACAAGGUUGGUCAUUCUGCUUUCCUUAUCGAUAACAAAAUGGAUGGGAGGAAGGUGGGGGGAGGGGCCACACUAUUGGACCUCUGCCCCCAAAGGGUUCAAUAGAGCUGUGCAAAUUUAACAUCCAGACACUCUGUCAAAGAUGCCGGGGAAACUCUCCUAGGGGAGUUAAUGAUGUGAAGUUCAAUGGACGUAAGGGCUCUUACCCUCAGAGGGCAGGUCAGCCAGGCCUGGGUUUGACCCCUGCUCUUCCCUCGCCAACCGUACACCUCAGGCAAGCUAGCUCUUGUAAUAACGUGUCCUCACAUGGAAAACUGGCACAGUCCACAUUCCAGAGGGUGGGGGUCCCAUCGGACAAUAUGGAUCUACUGAAGCCAGCAUGGGAUGGAAACUUCCUGCUGCUUGGACCAAUGUGAUCAUGUCAUAUCAUGAUCAUGUCACGUCACCCGAGGACUGCACUCCCGGGCUCCCCUCCACGGCAGGAUGGGAAGCCAGGUGUGAAAGUGCUACCUAGGAACACUGGGAAGCUCCCUGGGUGACCUGGGCUCCACCUGACCUGGCCGUGGUCCCCUUCCCUCCCCUCCGGAGGGAACGAGGGGCUUCCCUAACCAACAACGUCAGCCCCUUCCUCUUCUUUCUUGGCUUCUCCAUGACCAAGGCCAAUGUCAGAAGAUCUUCCCAGGACCUGUCAGCCACAGAGUGCGAUUGUGAAAAGGGGGUCUGUCUAUGCUGGGUGCGGAACCCUGGUCCUGUCUGUCUAUGCUGGGUGCGGAACCCUGGUCCUGUCUGUCUAUGCUGGGUGCGGAACCCUGGUCCUGUCUGUCUAUGCUGGGUGUGGAACCCUGGUCUUGUCUGUCUAUACUGCGUGCGGAACCCUGGUCCGAGGAUGCCCA